CACCUUAGCCAUAUCACCCUGCAGCCCAAGACCGGUUGCCCACUGAAGCUAAGCAGGGUUGAGCCUGGUCAGUACCUGGAUGGGAGACCUCAUUGGAAAACUAGGUUGCUGCUGGAA
ensembl:rRNA 5S_rRNA 5S ribosomal RNA